CCCUUAGAUGUUCUGGGCAGCACGCGCGCCACAAUGGUCUUCGCAAACGGAUGCAUUCUCGAAGGAGAAUGCCAAUCUUGGAAUCUAUGCCUUGGUCGGGACAGUUGCUUGCAAUUUUUCGACUCGAACCAGGAAUUCCUUGUAAUCGUGAUUCAUCACAUCACGAUGAAUACGUCCCUGCCCUUUGUACACACCGCCCGUCGCUCCUACCGAUCGAAGAGUUAGGUGAAUUGUUUUGAUCGAUAAGAUUUGACUAUGGUCAACUCUCGUUGUGAAAUUCUGUGAAUCUGACUGUUUAGAGGAAGGAAAAGUCGUAAC
rnacentral:rRNA from 1 species